UCAUAAUCUCAGAACUUUCCUUACAAACUCCCUCUAAAUAAUGUCUAUUUCUCAAGUUAAUGUGGCAAAUCGCUUGCAGAAUGUAAGAAUCUGAGGCAAAUGAACCACAUCAUUCCAUUCCAUUCCAGAAGAAAACAACUUCAUCAUCUUGUGGCAACAAAAAAGAUCUGGGAAGACUGACGUUGAAGACCCCCAGUGAAGGAAAAAAAAAAAAAACAGACAAGAAGCUGUCUUUAUACGUCUUUCAUUCAGACUAGAUCGGAAUUUUCUUUUAUUUUCUUUAUCUUUUUCUGCAAAGUCAGAGGAAGAAACAAGGCAGAUGGAGUAUCUUUAUCGUUCGGGGUGGGCUAUUUAAAUUAAAUUUGCAAUUUCAGUGAUGUGAAUAGUGUCUAAUUGCCAGGAUUGGAGUUCAGGAAGUAUUUGUGCUAUUUCUAAUAGCACUUCCCUAGCUCCCACAGCCACUUAUCCACCCGGAUCCGCUCCGGAUGAGCACAAUUUCCGCUAGAGAAGGAAUUGCCAACUGUCGCCGAUAAAUUUUCGCGACGGCGUCGAGUGUCCAUAAAAGUGUAUGUGUUGUAGUACGGGGACAGAAAUAGUUUUAACUGCCCCACCAAAAAUAUAUACCCACCAUGGAGUACCAGUAUCCACGUCUCUCUAUCUCUAUGGAUCCCCCAAAUCCAAAUCCAUUUCAUCUUCUCCAGAACGGAACUGCAAAUGGCAAAGUGAAUUAGCCGGGAAUUGGCAGAGAUCGCAUUUAAUGGCGGCCAUAACUUCAUUUUGGGGCUAAUGUUUGGGGCACUGUCGCCGGGAUUUUCCCGGAAAAAAAAACGGAAACUGAGUAAUAAUUUUUAUGAUUUAAUUAUCUGAGAUUAUUUUUAGUUAGUUUUUCAAAGGGAAGUUGAGAGUAUUAGAGGAUUAAAAGGUGUUUGAAGGUUGCAAGUCUUAUGUUAUUGAAUUUUUUCAAAACAUUAAAAUUUAAUAGGUUUUUAAAACAUUUUGUAACCUAAUUUAUAAUGGAAAAGUAUUUCUUUGUUCUAUAAAGUUGUAAUUCUGCUCAGAAUUUCCACUUACGAACCAUAUAAGUGGCUUCUGCUCAUUAGAAAAAAUGUUUUUGAAAAAAUACCUAUACUUUUAGGUUUUAAAAAUCUAUACCAUUUAUUUUUUAUCAUAAUUUAUUUAAUAAAAAGUAGGCUCUUAUGUUUUUAAGUUCUAGUUCUUCUAUAAGUUUAAAAUAACAACCGAAAAAAGUCUCUUCUACUAAUUGGAAUAAAUGUUUUUGAAAAAAUACCAAAACCCCUUGUAUCACAUGAUCAAAAAAAUACGUAAAUCAGUUGGGAAUUAAACUGGGAACAUAUAACCCAUAUGUUCUCAGCAGAUCUAUGCUUCCCAUACACAUAUAUAUGUUAUAUCUGGUGUAUAUAUAGUAUUUCAUAAAUCCAUACGCACUCCAUCACAUUAUUUGGCUACUUUAUGGGCUCUUUUUCGAUUUCAUUUAGCACUCGGAUAGUUUCGAACCAUCCACCACUAUUUUGUUGUUCAAUAUUUGUAUUUUCUUUUUUUUUUUUUAAAGAACAGGGGGGCACUGGCACUUCCAGAACAUCUCGUGUUCGCCGCUCGUGUGUUUUCCUCACUUUUUUGCUUAAUUCUGAUUACAUUUAUUUAUGAAACCGGGCGUACAUAUAAUUUCCGUUCGCCGGCCCCAACUGCUCCAAUGAAUUAUGUCAAGAGAAGAAAACAAAAAACAAGCCAGGGGAAAAAAUAUAAAAAACAACAGAACGGAAAAACUAAUAGUGCUGUUGCUGCUCUGCCAGUGAAAUCAAAAAAAAAUGAAAAUCAAAAAAAUGAAAAGCGCACAAGUAAAAAUAGCAAAUGAAAAGCGCAUCAAAAAAAAAAAACAAGAAGGAGAACAGGAAAAAAAGUAUACACGGUGAGAAAUGUGAAAACUUCAAAGCGAAUGCAAAUCAAAGUGAAAAUAAAGGAGAGGGAGGUGCAUCAUCAGGAGGUUGGGGAUAAGUGUAUUCAAAGGUGCAACUGAACCAAAUUGGCACACCUUCCCAGAGUCCAAAGACGAAGAAACUUGGCCGAAACCGAAGAAAA